AUGGCACAAAUUUUUUUUUUUUACAGGUGGGAGGAGCUUUCAGCCCCGCCGUCCUUGUGCUCCUGCUGUGAUUUUGUGUGUUCAGACUCUGAAAGCUUGAUCAAGAGCAAAGUCAGAAGUUUAGGCUGGAAUGUUGGUCAAAAAGACGGACCAGAAAAGGAAGACAUUGACCUCCCAGCUCCGGAUGGAGAAGUGGUUGAUAGAAAAGAGAGGCACCAAAAAAAGGAAUCGUACUAUAAAAGUUAUAAGACUUUUCUGAGUGACGUCAAAGAUGACGAUCAGGAGAAAUUGAGAAUCGACCUCCAUGAUGAGAAGCCGUGGAAUGUGACUGGAUUCAGCCUGGACCAAGGAAAGGAGAGAAGACUGGCAGAUUUGGCGGGCUUGGAAGCCGAGCCUGGUCAGAGAAAACUUUUUCCCCUUGACAUGGCUCUAUCAGAUGAAGGCCGAUCACACCGGAAUGAAACUGCUCCCCCCGCUGACGACCUCCCACACCUGAAGAAAACCGAGACGAGUUUAUCACAUGACAAAGGCAGCAACACUUUGAUCGAUGGGUUUACAUCCACUUUUGCAAGAAGUUCUCGUUUUGGUAGCACUCCUGGAUUUCGAGGUGACAUUCCCCCCGCAAGUGACCCCAUGGGCACCAAAUGUGCCAACAUUAUGUGUGGGGCAGUUACUGGUGCACUUCCCCGUGAACAGGAACCCCUCGAAGGGCAGAAGCGUGCUGUAGCUACCUUCACUGAUAUAGAAAGCCUUAGCCCCUCUCUUGGAAAAAGUAGCUCUGGUCUUGGAGAUGGAGGUGUUCAGCUUGCCACCAGUCACUUGCGUGGAAAUCCUCCAGUUUUUUCUGAAGUCACAGUUUCAGAGACGGGGGGCUUGGAGUUGAGGAACUGGAACAAUGAGCUAUGGUCAGAGGAGCACGUGUGUUUCAACAGAUCCACAUCUGACAACAUGUCGGUGCGAGCUGUUGAUUCCCUAUCCAGUGAAGGACAUCAUGGAGAUGUCAUGAUCAGAGGCCACGACUCAAACAAGGCAGCUGGGUCAAAACGCUGGAUUUGUCUAAAUAAAGAGUUAAAGUUGGACCAAAGUACAGAUGGUUCCUGGUUCAACAAAGAGCCAGAAGCACAGUUGGAUACAACUGAACGGGCUCUGUUUUUUGGCUCGGAGUUGAAGGAUGGAGUCAACUCGGACCGCUCCACUACAGUGACUUUUGGCAGCAGUUCUGACUCGGAGAGCAGCCGGCUGGUGGACCGGCAGUGGGCUGAGGUGUUGCCUGACUGGGACAUGCAGAGUUUGAGGGUUGUGGUGAAGCAGACCAUGAAAGAUGACCCAGGUCAAUAGUUAUUCCUUGGGAAUAACUGACUUGUUCCAGUGUCUUGAAAAGGCUUUCUGAAGAGAAUGUCAUGUUCUGGUGUCCGGUUACAGACUCAGAAAACAGGCUGCUACUUUAUCUUUUAUAACCCCAGGAUAGUAGGCGGCUUCUUCCAAACACUGAAAUGGGUCAUCUCAGAACCUUUUCUUUGCUUUAGAGAUCUGGUUCCAGAAGAUUCUCCUUGAGUGAAAAAUGGCAGGGGUCUGUUUCUACAGAACAUCACCUAAAAACAAACCGGGACAGGACUUUGAAUGACAAACUUUGUUCAGACAUUGUUGAAUAAACUGAGUCAAUCUUAAAAACCUCUGAAUUGUUUCUUUCGUAUAUCUGUGUCUGGGGUCAUCUGUAAUGAACAUCAGCAUUAAAGCCAAAGU
ensembl:lncRNA